ACGGGAGGCAGCAGUGAGGAAUAUUGGUCAAUGGGCGGAAGCCUGAACCAGCCAUGCCGCGUGAAGGAAUAAGGCCCUAUGGGUCGUAAACUUCUUUUGAGCGGGAGCAAUAAGGCGCACGUGUGCGUCGAUGAGAGUACCGUUCGAAUAAGCAUCGGCUAACUCCGUGCCAGCAGCCGCGGUAAUACGGAAGAUGCGAGCGUUAUCCGGAUUUAUUGGGUUUAAAGGGAGCGUAGGCGGGUCUUUAAGUCAGUGGUCAAAGCGUGUGGCUCAACCAUACCACGCCAUUGAUACUGGAGACCUUGAGUGCACAUAAGGAUGGUGGAAUUCGUCGUGUAGCGGUGAAAUGCUUAGAUAUGACGAAGAACUCCGAUUGCGAAGGCAGCUGUCCGGGGUGUAACUGACGCUAAUGCUCGAAAGUGCGGGUAUCAAACAGGAUUAGAUACCCUGGUA
rnacentral:rRNA from 1 species